ACUGGAAUUGCUGGGUCAUGUGGUAACUCUAUGUUUAACUUUUUGAGGAACUGACAAACUGUUUUCCAAAGCAACUGCACCAUUUUACAUUCCCACCAGCAGU
rnacentral:pre_miRNA from 1 species